CGUCACUGCGGACUCAGCCUGCUACCACAGACAGCUCCUGGACUAGAAGCAGAGCCUUAGAAAAGCAAUGAGGACGCCAGGAGCCCGGCCAGGUGCCAUGACUGGGGAAUGCACCUUGCUGUACAGGUGGUGAUGAAGGAGGAUGGCACAUGUUGGCAGGAGACACAUCUUCCCUGUGCUUGUAGGAGAAUUCCCAGCAGCAGCAGCAGUAGCAGUAGGUCGCCUCCCAUCCAUCCAUUGCUGGGCUGGAGAAGCACGCUGUCUAUGUUGGAUCUGACAUCCAAGAUGGAAGCAGGGUGGGGAGUUUGUUUCUAUCUUUGGUUAUCUAGCUGUAUGAGUUUAAAUCAGCCGUCAUAAAGCUAGAUAACCGAAAGUAGGAAUAACUUCCAUGACGUCAUAGACCACCGUGAUGUAUGACCUGAUGAAGGCGUUGCCACAUUACAAGUGCUUCUCCAACAAGGUCAAAAGGAGGAGAAAUCUGUAAUACAUAUGCAAAGUCAUUAUUAUUUGGACCUUUAUCAGUAAGGUUACUCUAAUUCUUCAAGAAAUACUGCGGAGUGGAGGCUCCACAAGGACACCGAGUGAAUUAAAAUUUCACAGCAGGCAACCAAUGAAGAAGUGGGCCUUUAAUUCAAAAUGGCUUCCAUGAGUGAGAUAACCAACAUCUCUUGCCAUCUGAGGAGAAUUCACAUCUCUGAGGGCCAAGCAUAGGAAUUAAAGCUUCUUCAUUUGAAUAUGCAUUUAAAAGAUUCUCCAGUCCAUGGAGUCUCCUUUUUAUAAGAAAAUAAAACCAGGAAGAAGUAAAUAUUUUCACAUGGACAUCACCAUCUUCUUGCUUAUGAUUUCCCUCAAUAUCCUUACCGAUGGAGGCCAUUUUGAUAGAAUUCAGGAACAUUUUAAGAUGGCCGCUUUGGUGCAAGAAGUCUAUGGAGGUCAUGACAUAAUUCCAAUUUCCUUGAUCUGGCAUCCUGCUCGCGGAGUAGACAUCUUUCAGGUCUCCAAGAUGAACCACCAAGUCUCUGCAAAUGGUCUAGCAUCUCCUAGCCAGUCGUAUCAAUGAACUGGAGAAGAAUUAUACAGAAAGAGAAUUCCGACCUUUCCUAUAGAUUUAGUAUCUAAUUCUAAAUUGUUUUGUAUCAUUAUGGCUUUUUUUUUUAUAGGAUUGUUAUCCGUAUAAUUGGUAUUAUUAUUAUUAUAAAUAACAACAACAACAAUAAUAUAUAUAAUAUAUGUAUAUUUAAUUUUACAGUAUUUAUUCAUUCAUUUUUUAAUCUAUAUAUUUAAGUGUUAAUUUCUUUAUUCAGAAGAUGCCAUCAGGGCUUUUGUUUGAUCAUGUAUUUAUGUAACAGUUAAAUGUACAUUUUACCUUACUGCAAUAUUUUAUUUUAUUUUUUGGAAUAAAGCAAUUUUACUAUUACAUUUAUCAAGCAUUUUUUAUUUUUUAUAAUAUUGUAGUCUCAUUGUGUAAUAUAUUCUAUGGACUAUCAUGUUGAUCGAGUUACAGGAUUGCAAACAGUACCGACACCUCACUAAGGUUUUCUUGCAUGUUUUCUUAAAUAUAAGUAUUCGUUGUAAUUUUCUUUACAAAUAAGAUUCAUCACUAUCAAUUGUUUAAUCAGUUUCACAAAAAUUAUUAUGAAACCAAAAUAUAUAAAGUAUGUUAGUGUAAAUUUGCCCUUACACAUGGUUUAUUAGAAUUCCUGAUUAAAAUAAAAUUGGUAAAUAUAACAUACAAUGUGUCAAUUCAAGACAUUAAUUCAGUCUAUCUCUAGGUAACAUCUACACUCAAUGACCCAGAAAGAAAAGGUUGACAUGGCCAUUUUAAUAAACUCUUCAUCCAAAAGGGUCUCAUCAAUCAUUGUCUGGGUUUCCUCAAGAAAGUUAAAUUGUUCCGAACUUCUGCAUUGAAUUGAAUUUAACUUUCAUUCUGGGAAAAAAAAAUAAACAAAAAGAACAUAUUGUAGAUAUGUAGACACUCUAUAUCGGACUGUCUCUUGCUGUGCCGCCAGCAAUCAUAUAACUUCAGUUGUAUAUCUUCAUGCCUAGCCUGCCAUAUGGUCGAUACAAUGGGAAUAGUGACA